rnacentral:rRNA from 1 species
CUAAGAGGUACAUAUAGACGUUGCAAUACAGAUACACAAGAUCAAAGAACGAGAAUCUAUCAUAAUCAGAGAGCAGAAAAAUCAUAUCACGCAACACACACACACACACCAACGUCCAGGAAAAAUCAGAUCAGGCACCACUGCUAGAAACAACUAUCUGUCAAUAGCUAUGGUCUGCAGCUACACCAUGACGGCCGAGUUCGCGAGGUUGCACUUUGAGCGCCUUCAGAAAUAACAGAUCGUUAAGAGGCAUAGGAAGGAGGAGCUGCCGCUAGCAGGUGAGGCCGGAAGGCCGCCGCCGGCCAGCCACGAGCCACUGCUCCACUCCUCCUUAGCCGCUGCCCGCAGCAAGCAGCUAUGGUCUCUCAGAUGUGUCCGCGACGGGAUGACCGCUCAUCGUUCUUUGCCUGGAUGUGUGCGCGGCGGGAUGGCCGGCUGUGAGGAAGAAAGACGAGUGAGAGGAGAGGCGACGGGGAGGUGAGGGACAGCCGGCGCUGGGUCGGGGGAGUGUGGCGGCGCUGGGAUUUGGAGGGUGCGCGUGAGUCGGGGAGGGGGAAGAGGCGCAGGGUCCGCUCGUUCCGCGUGGUCCGGUCGAUUUGAAGGUAUG